GUCAUAAGUAGUUUAUUUAAUAAGAGUAUGUGACGUUUCAAACUUUCUUUGGUAAACAGUAAAACGUAUUGGAGAAAAAUAGUUUGUUUUCAAUAGGACAGGUAAAAUUAAAGUAUAUUGUGAAAGUUAAUGUUUUAUCAAGUUGACAUUAUUCAGAUAAUGGCACAUGUGUUUCUGUUACAAUGAACACUGAUUAAUUGGUCUCUAUUUUGCUUUCCCAGUGCUCUUAGCACUCUUCCUUUUUGGUGACGGACUUUUCUUUUGUUCAAUAUGAUGAGAAGUUUCUUGAGCUGCUACUGCAUCUUGUUUUUUUUUCUCGACUUCAAGCAAUUUAUUUCUGUAUGACUCUCGAGCACUGAGAAUUUGUUGACGAGCAUUGUCUAAUGAUAUCUGUAGAUCUUCAUAUGUCUGUAGCACUUUCUUCUUUAGCAAAUUUCGUGCAAUCUGUUCCUGCUCCCUUUGCUGUAUGACUUCCUCUCGACUCUGUCUAUACUGUUGAAUCUCUUCUGCCUUUUGCAAGGCCUGCUGCUGAAUUACAUAUUCGUCUCGUAGCAACGGUUGUGGCCUUGUUUUUCUAAGAAAGGGUGUCAAAUCCAAUGUGGUAAAUUCUUUAGUGUCUGGAUCCAUUGAUUGACUUCCCAAGAUCUUGGCUGGAUCUAUUCCGUCUCCAUUUAAUACUUGAGUGUCUUGUGGAAUUUUCAUUUCAGACGUGUCCGCAUUGAUUUUUUGCACAUAUUUGUUGAUAUACUGCAACCGUGACUGCAAUGCCUUGACAGCUCGUCCAGGUUCCGCCAACUCCCAUGCCUGCUUCAUAGCUCUGAUCUCAUCUAGACGUUCUGUGUCUUUUUUAACUUCCAGUGUGUCUACUUCGCUUGUUUGGCUGACUAGCCUUAGAAUCCAACUCGGCUUAUUCAAAUCUGUCUGCAGUUGAGCCUGAGAUUCAGGUCUGGAAGUUGGAGUUGACAUAAGUCGUUCUCUGUCUUUUCCAGACUUCUCCUUUUCAGGUUUUUCUGUUUUCCCUUUCCUGAUAGUCUUCGGAGUGCUCACUGGUUUUUGGACAUCACCGCUAUGGUGAACUUCUGAAUGUACCUCUUCAUAAACUCUUGCCUCCUGUUUCUCUAACUCCUUUAGUGUUUGAACAAAGGCAGCUUGACUCUCCGUGAGGGUCCAGCUGUUAUUUAGCACAAUAGCUUGUAUAAUGUACUUGUGUGC